GUGGGGGAUAACGUCCGGAAACGGGCGCUAAUACCGCAUACGUCCUGAGGGAGAAAGUGGGGGAUCUUCGGACCUCACGCUAUCAGAUGAGCCUAGGUCGGAUUAGCUAGUUGGUGGGGUAAAGGCCUACCAAGGCGACGAUCCGUAACUGGUCUGAGAGGAUGAUCAGUCACACUGGAACUGAGACACGGUCCAGACUCCUACGGGAGGCAGCAGUGGGGAAUAUUGGACAAUGGGCGAAAGCCUGAUCCAGCCAUGCCGCGUGUGUGAAGAAGGUCUUCGGAUUGUAAAGCACUUUAAGUUGGGAGGAAGGGCAGUAAGUUAAUACCUUGUUGUUUUGACGUUACCAACAGAAUAAGCACCGGCUAACUUCGUGCCAGCAGCCGCGUUAAUACGAAGGGUGCAAGCGUUAAUCGGAAUUACUGGCCGUAAAGCGCGCGUAGGUGGUUCAGCAAGUUGGAUGUGAAAUCCCCGGGCUCAACCUGG
rnacentral:rRNA from 1 species